CUGGAGAGUUCAGUAGCAAGGGAGAAGGGGAGGGGGUGUCUGCUCUUUUUGUUUACCAAGCCCCUUUCAGUGGAUGUCCCAGACUACCUCAUCAACAAUGCUAAACUGGGAGCUUCUAAGGAGAAACACAUGCUGUGUCCCACAACAGAG